CUUACCUACUCGUAACCCGCCCCGGCACCCCUCCCGCCCCGCCCCGAGCAACGCCCGCUAGGCUGCUGUGCUACCCCGCAGUCCCAAUUCCACAGUCCCCACCCCACCAGGUGCACCACGCCGCCACCGCAGCCUCCGCCCCGGCUGCGUUGACCCCCGUUGACCUCCGCCCGCCCGGCCGCCAUGGACCCGCGCUUCCCGCCGCCGGCGCCGUCGUCCUGCUUCGGCGGGGGCGGGGAGCUCCCAGCACGGGGGCACCACCGGCGGGCGCACUCGGAGACGUUCAUCCGGCUGCCCGACGCAGACCUGCUGCUGGACCCGGACGCCGACUUCGGCUUCUCCGACAUCGACUUCCCCUCUCUCUCCGACGACUCGCCCGCGGCGUCCGACCCGACGCCGCAGCCCCAGGCCCCGCCGCUCCAGCCGCCGCUGCAGCAGGCGGCUUCCCCGGCGUCCGCGGCGCCGCCGAGGCCGCCGAGCGGGGCGCACAUGCGGAGCCUCUCCCUCGACGCCGCCUUCUUCGACGGCCUCUCGCUGCAGGGAGGCGGCGGCGGCGGGGGGGUAAGAGGGGGCAUGGCGGGGCACAAGAGGAGCGGCUCCAUGGACGGGGACACCUCGCCGUUCGAGGGCGAGUCGGCGCCGCCGUCCGUGCUGCCGGACUACGCCAAGAAGGCCGUGCCCGACGACAAGCUCGCCGAGCUCGCGCUCCUCGAUCCCAAGCGCGCCAAGAGGAUCCUGGCGAACCGGCAGUCCGCGGCGAGGUCCAAGGAGAGGAAGAUCAAGUACACCAGUGAGCUGGAGAGGAAGGUGCAGACGCUGCAGACAGAGGCCACCACGCUUUCGGCACAGCUCACGCUUCUUCAGAGGGACACCUCUGGUUUAACCACUGAGAACAGGGAGCUGAAACUCCGGUUGCAGGCCAUGGAAGAACAAGCUAAACUUCGAGAUGGUAUGUCCUUGUCUUUCUUUGGAAGGUCUAAAGCCACUGUCAUAUAAGGCCCAGAAAGAGACUCCACUUUUCCUGUUUCAAGAACAUUACGAGGCAAAUGCUCUAAAUGAUGCCUUGAGGGAAGAAGUCCAGCGGCUUAAGAUAGCCGCAGGGCAGGUCCCCAACAUGAACGGGAAUCCCUUCAAUGGAGGACUAUCACAGCAGCAGCAGAUGCCAAGCUAUUUCUCACAACCACAGCAGAUGCAAUACUUCAGCGGCCACCAGGGCCAGCAUCACCAUCCGAAGCAUGACCCCCAGAAUUCUUCAAACGGCGGUGGCCAGCCCUUGAGUGACUCCAUGGAUUUCAUGUGAGGAUUCAGGGGAGACAGCUCAGGAGUGUUGCCUGAGAUCACAUACCAACUUCAACUAAAGUACUGUAAAUGUAGCUGAUGUAUACCAUAUUCAGUGUUAUGAUAUGAACCAUUGUAGUUUAGCUAGCUGUUCCUUGUACCAUUAAUCAAAAGUUCAUUCAUGGUGACAAACCUAUCAUCGCUUUUGUUCUGGCGUUAAAGUAAAUUGGCUUGACUGGUUGACGAGCUGUCGUUGUAAAGUUGUUCCUGUAACAGUGAAGGAAUGGUUUGCGGUUGGAACGUGGUUUUCACGCUGCUGAAAGCCGUUGCAUUUCGUGA